UGGGGAAUAUUGCACAAUGGAGGGAACUCUGAUGCAGCAACGCCGCGUGCGGGAUGACGGCCUUCGGGUUGUAAACCGCUUUCAGCCAUGAUGAAGCUUUUGUGACGGUAGUGGUAGAAGAAGCACCGGCUAACUACGUGCCAGCAGCCGCGGUGAUACGUAGGGUGCGAGCGUUGUCCGGAAUUAUUGGGCGUAAAGAGCUUGUAGGCGGUUUGUCGCGUCGAUAGUGUAAACACGCAGCUUAACUGUGUGCCUGCUGUCGAUACGGGCUGACUAGAGGAGGGUAGGGGAGAAUGGAAUUCCCGGUGGAGCGGUGGAAUGCGCAGAUAUCGGGAGGAACACCAGUGGCGAAGGCGGUUCUCUGGACCUUUCCUGACGCUGAGAAGCGAAAGCGUGGGUAGCAAACAGG
rnacentral:rRNA from 1 species